rnacentral:rRNA from 1 species
AACGAACGCUGGCGGCAUGCCUAACACAUGCAAGUCGAACGAGACCUUCGGGUCUAGUGGCGCACGGGUGCGUAACGCGUGGGAACCUGCCCUUAGGUUCGGAAUAACUCCCCGACAGGGGUGCUAAUACCGGAUAAUGUCUUCGGACCAAAGAUUUAUCGCCUUUGGAUGGGCCGUCGUUGGAUUAGCUAGUUGGUAGGGUAAAAGCCUACCACGGCGCCGAUCCAUAGCUGGUCUGAGAGGCUGAUCAGCAACACUGGGACUGAGACACGGCCCAGACUCCUACGGGAGGCAGCAGUGGGGAAUAGUGGACAGUGGGCUGAAGCCUGAUCCAGCAAGGCCGCGUGAGUGAUGAAGUCCUUAGGGUUGUAAAGCUCUUUUACCCGGGAUGAUAAUGACAGUACCGGGAGAAUAAGCUCCGGCUAACUCCGUG